AUGUGCUGAUGAGUCCCAAACAGGACGAAAUGCGCAUCAAACUGCAU
rnacentral:hammerhead_ribozyme from 1 species